rnacentral:rRNA from 1 species
AUUGAACGCUGGCGGCAGGCCUAACACAUGCAAGUCGAGCGGAUGAAGGGAGCUUGCUCCUGGAUUCAGCGGCGGACGGGUGAGUAAUGCCUAGGAAUCUGCCUGGUAGUGGGGGAUAACGUCCGGAAACGGGCGCUAAUACCGCAUACGUCCUGAGGGAGAAAGUGGGGGAUCUUCGGACCUCACGCUAUCAGAUGAGCCUAGGUCGGAUUAGCUAGUUGGUGGGGUAAAGGCCUACCAAGGCGACGAUCCGUAACUGGUCUGAGAGGAUGAUCAGUCACACUGGAACUGAGACACGGUCCAGACUCCUACGGGAGGCAGCAGUGGGGAAUAUUGGACAAUGGGCGAAAGCCUGAUCAAGCCAUGCCGCGUGUGUGAAGAAGGUCUUCGGAUUGUAAAGCACUUUAAGUUGGGAGGAAGGGCAGUAAGUUAAUACCUUGCUGUUUUGACGUUACCAACAGAAUAAGCACCGGCUAACUUCGU